rnacentral:rRNA from 1 species
CAGUCGCCGCGGGAAUACGUAGGUGGCAAGCGUUGUCCGGAAUUAUUGGGCGUAAAGGGCUCGCAGGCGGUUUCUUAAGUCUGAUGUGAAAGCCCCCGGCUCAACCGGGGGGGGUCAUUGGAAACUGGGAAACUUGAGUGCAGAAGAGGAGAGUGGAAUUCCACGUGUAGCGGUGAAAUGCGUAGAGAUGAGGAGGAACACCAGUGGCGAAGGCGACUCUCUGGUCUGUAACCGACGCUGAGGAGCGAAAGCGUGGGGAGCGAACAGGAUUAGAUACCCGCGUAGUCCCUGUCUCUUAUAC